rnacentral:lncRNA from 10 species
CAUUAAAUGAAUUUUUGACUUAUAAUAUUUUUAACUUACCAUGGAUUUAUUGGAACAUAAGUAGAAGAACAUCUGUAGUUAUAAAGUACAUGUAAAGUACUUGUGAGUGCUUAUAAAGAAGCCAUACACAAUCCCUGACUUCAUUAAGUUCAUGGAUGUCUUAGUUGGCUUGGACAGUCAUAACAAUAUACUGUAGACUGAGUAGUUUAAACAACAGAAAUUUAUUUUCUCAUAUUUCUGUAGGUUGGAAGUUCGAGAUGAGGGUGCCAGCAUGGCUGAUUUUUGAUGAAUGCUCUGUUUCUGAUUUGCUGAUGGUGGAAAGAAGAGGAGAGAACAAAUAAAGACUCUUUUAUCUCUUAAGUGCACUAAUCUCAUCAUGAGGACCUUACCCUUAUGACAUCAUCUAAACCUAAUGGUCUCCCAAAGGCCCCAUCUCUAAAUACCACCUCACUGGGGAUUAGGGCACCAGCAUAUGAUUUUUGGGGUGGGGAGUGACAUAAUUCAGUUCAUAGCAACAGACAAGCAGAGGAUAGAAAUAGUUAAUUGGUAAGAUGGAUUAGCUAACUCCUUCUCAUUCUAGAACAGUAGGACCAGAAUGAAAAUAGAGGAGCAGCUGCUGAGGAGCAGCUUAGUGACAGUUUCAGUGAUGCCGAGUUCUUAAGUGUGAAAAGAAACAACCAUAUGCUCUUAAAGUCAGUAAGUGAGGGCUGGGGGAUAGGAAUUAGUAGGGGAAAUAUUCUUUCCCAAAUGUACAAUUAAACUGUAUGGUUUCCAAUGAUAAUUGUCAGUAGUUUCCAUAUGAUAUGCUUACCACAUAUUUGAUAUAAUAUGAAAAUAUGUCUCCCUGUAGGUAACUAAGUGGUAGCACAAUUGAUCUAGAAUUGUAGGAUCCAGGAAGAUUAGAGUCCUCUGUUUUCAGGAACUGUGAAUAGUGAAAGAAGGGAAUGUCAGUCUUCACCCAAAUGAAACCCAAAGAAUAUAUUUCCUUUCCAGAAAAUAGGAGGACACAAACAAACAAAAAGAAGCCUAUUCCCAUAGAAGAUAUAGUUUUUUUUUCCUAAGAGAGGGAAUUGGGUUGAUACCUGAGAAAGUGGUAUAAUGGAAAAGGAGAGGGGCACUCAAAGAAGAAAACUCAGAUCAGAAGUAGAAAGAGUCUGUACAGAGGAUCCUAUUUGUUAUAGCUGAGUCUGGAAGCUCUUUCCUUUGAGAUUUUAUGUAUUUGUUUUCCCAGCCUCUAUUCCCACUUCUCUGAUAACAGCAUGCUGAUUUUUUAAAGAGAAACACACUAUCCAAUUGUUAGAUAGUUCCCCUGCUGGAGUUAUUUACAUCCUCUGGCUCUAUGGAGUAAGGGGAGGCAAAGAGGGAGAUGCAUAAAUUCACUAAAAUGCCAAUCUUUAUUCUUCUGUACAUGUCCAACCUGUCGGGUUAUCUAUGUAGAGAAAUAGAUUGUCUCCAUGUAAUGGAGAAUUGAGUUCAGAGUAGUAAACGGAUGGACAGGUGUGUUCUAUCCAAUUUUCCCUUCAGGGCCUUGCAAAGAAACUGGAUAAGAGAGCAGACAACUUUUGGUGGAUAAUACAACAUCCUUGGUGAUUACUGGCAUCCAUGAUCCAGGAAGUCCCCUGGAAAAUUCAGGCAAACAUUUUUCAAUUCUGUCAAUCUUUUGUGGUGAGAGAUGGCUUAUUUCAUAGAUAAAUUGUUAUUAUAACUCACAGUGGAAUUCAAAAUAAUCCAAAACACAGUAGUAGGACAAUCCCCUGGAGAACAUGGGAGCCAAAUAAAUCACAUUUUGUAGCAUUACUCACCUCACCAUAGGAAAAAUUCUAUCCAGGUAAAAUAUCAGAGGCAUUCAUGAGGAAGGAAAUAAUUCAAAAAAGCAAGAUGGGAACUAAGAAAAGUGGAUAAAAGAGAAGAACAGGAUGCCUUGGGUUGACAAUAUGGUGUCCUCAAGGAAAUCAAAUUGAGAAAAAAUAUAGUUUCUCCGGGGUAGUUACAUUAUAAACCUUGACAAAAUGGAUUACAUCACAGAUAUUCAAAAUCACCUUAAAAAGGACAUACAAGGAGCAAGCAGAGAAAUAUGAUACUGGAGAAGACCAUUCUCCCAGGUGACAGAGAAUACAAGGUUCAUCCCAAAGGAUAAGAACAUGGCUGCAAAAGGAACCACUUCCAGAGGAGUCAAGGAAGGUAUGUCCUGAGAAGUUUGCAUUGACCUUGCUAAUUUGCCACUGCUGUUGUAACAGCUUUAAUUAUACGGGGUUCUUAGAAUUCAGGCAAACUUUUUUCUUUCCUGUAAUCUCCCUGAAGGAUCUUAAAGCAAUUGGCUUUAAAAGAUGAAAUAUAUAUUGUUUUACAUUUGCCUUCCCCAAAUAAUUGAUUUUGAAUAUUAUGUUUUAAACAAAAUGCCUCCAGGACAUAGACUUUUUUACAGCACCUUAUAUAAACAAGGCAGGAGAAGUUAGAGGAUGUGUACCUGCACACACACACACACACACACACACGCACACACACACGGAUAUUAGAAAGACAGAAAGAAUGUGCUCAAUUGAGAAACAGGAAUCUAAAUUUUUAAGAAGUAGCUUGAGACUACAUUAAAAAUGAACAAAUUUUUCUUUCACUUUGAGAAUGUCAAGAUAUAGCAAAGCAUAAAAAGAAAUGCAGGUAAAUCCAAAGAUGGAAAUGAGAAGAUAGAAAAUUGUAGAAAUUCAUGCUGAACAGACUUUUUCCCUGUGAAGUAUGAGACAAAGGGUCUGUUACAAUGAGGGAAUUAUAUUUGGAGCCAAACAGAAACAUACAGUAGUAUUGGUUUGUUAACCUACAUUGUGUACUGCUUUUUGCCAUUUAAAUUUCCACACAACUCUCCACUUUUGACUUUGAGCUCAGCAAUGUGAGUUGCUUUGGUCAAAGGAUUUUAGAUGCGCUGCAAGCAGAUAUGUAGAAAUCAUUUGCAUUAUUAGACAUCAUUCUUUGAUCCUCUGCCAUAGCUGUGAGAGGAAUUCUCCAGCUGGCCUACUUGACCAAGAAUGAGAGAACUUGUGGAACCAACCUAGACCCAUAGAUAUCAAACAUAAAGUGGAGUCACCCCACCUGAAGCAAAUAUCUGUGAGAAUAAAUUGUUGUUUAAAGUCACCAAAUUUUGAGGUGGUUUCUUACACAACAUUACUGAAGCAGUAUGACCUGAUGCAUGUGUCAAAGAUCUAGUCACAUUUGUAGAAUACACAGGUUUAAUAGCGACAACAUAUAAGUUAUACCAUUUUCUCCAAUAGAGUUUGAGACUCUAGGUAGAGAUACAGAACUCGGCAUUAUUGAAUUGACAAAAAUGUCCAAUUAUAAAAAGAUAAAGCAAUUGCAGAUAAUGGCAGAAACUGAAGUGAUAUAUGAACAAAAUUAAGAUUGAUAUGAAGGGAAUAAAUCCAAGAGAGUCCUGACGGCACCACUACCACCAGAACUUUUUUUUUUUUUUUUUUUUUGAGACGGAGUCUCCCUCUGUCGCCCCGGCUGGAGUGCAGUGGCACGAUCUCGGCUCACUACAAGCUCUGACUCCUGGGUUCACGCCAUUCUCCUGCCUCAGCCUCCCG